GAGAAAAGCAGUAUAAGUAGAAGCGCAUCGGAGGUGAAGGCACUUCUCUGUCGACCUCUUGCUCAGACAAGUGCCCACGCUUCUCAUCUGCACACAUCUUCCAGAACUAAAGAAAUGGAUUCUAGCAUCACCGCUGGGGAAGGAGCAGUGGCACUGCUCACCACAAUGUUCGAUCAAUAUGCACAUACUGACGGAGAUGCUACGACAAUGUCCCGAAAGGAAUUCAAGGAAAUGAUGCAGAAGGAGUUCCCUUGUUUUCAGAAACCCGAGUGCGCUGACGACAAAGGAUGCGAUAUCUUCCAGAAAAUUGACUGUAACGGGGAUGGUCUUGUCAGCUUCCCAGAGUUUAUGGGCCUUAUCGGAACAUUAGCCUAUUGUUGCCAUGGUUUCAUGAUUGGCGCAAACCAAGAAUGUCAGUCACAAUGUCAAAAACAAAAAAAAAGUAAAUAAAACAUAAGAAGAUGCCAUCAAACCUUAUGAAUAAAUACACUGAACAAUAAAGUUCAGCGGCUUGUGACUUCAUCCUUCUUGCAUCAGACACAUGCUCUGCUCCUACAUAAAUAAAGCAAUAAUGUAAACAACAAAA